rnacentral:rRNA from 1 species
AGUCUAGAGAAAAGUUAUUCUAGAUGAAGCCUGCCCGGUGAUCAGAUUUAACGGCCGCGGUACUUUGACCGUGCUAAGGUAGCGUAAUCAGUUGACUUUUAAAUGAAGUCUUGUAUGAAUGGAUUUAUGGGAUUAAGCUGUCUCUUCCGCACUCUAUUGAAAUUACUAACUAGGUGAAAAGGCCUAGAAAUGAAAAAGGACGAGAAGACCCUUAGAGUUUUUAUAAAGAAUUUUUGUUGGGGCGACAAGAAGACAUCUAUAACUCUUCUGUUGUAAAGUUUACUGCCGGGUUUUUCAAGAACGGAUAAACUACCUGAGGGAUAACAGCAUAAUCCAUUAAUGGGUUUGUGACCUCGAUGUUGGACUAGGAAACUUGCAUUCUAGCAGAAUGUAUAGUAAGGUUCUGUUCGAACUUUUUAUCCU